GGUGAACGCUGGCGGUAGGCCUAACACAUGCAAGUCGAACGGCAGCACAGUAAGAGCUUGCUCUUACGGGUGGCGAGUGGCGGACGGGUGAGGAAUACAUCGGAAUCUACUUUUUCGUGGGGGAUAACGUAGGGAAACUUACGCCAAUACCGCAUACGACCUACGGGUGGAAGCAGGGGAUCUUCGGACCUUGCGCGAUUGAAUGAGCCGAUGUCGGAUUAGCUAGUUGGCGGGGUAAAGGCCCACCAAGGCGACGAUCCGUAGCUGGUCUGAGAGGAUGAUCAGCCACACUGGAACUGAGACACGGUCCAGACUCCUACGGGAGGCAGCAGUGGGGAAUAUUGGACAAUGGGCGCAAGCCUGAUCCAGCCAUACCGCGUGGGUGAAGAAGGCCUUCGGGUUGUAAAGCCCUUUUGUUGGGAAAGAAAAGCAGCAGGUUAAUACCCCGCUGUUCUGACGGUACCCAAAGAAUAAGCACCGGCUAACUUCGUG
rnacentral:rRNA from 1 species